GACGAACGCUGGCGGCGUGCUUAACACAUGCAAGUCGAACGGCAAGGCCCUGCUUUUGUGGUGUUCUCGAUUGGCGAUCGGGUGAGUAACACGUGAGUAACCUGCCCUUGACUUUGGUAUAGCUUCAGGAAGCUGGGGCUAAUACCGUAUAGGAUCUCCUGCUGCAGUGUGGGGGUUGGAUAUUUUCGGCUGGUGGGGCUGGAUUCGCGGCUUAACGGCUUGUUGGUGGGGUGGUGGCUUACCCAGGCUUUGACUGGUCGCCCGCAGGAGUGGGUGAACGGCCACAUUGGGACUGAGAGACGGACCAGACUCCUACGGGAGGCAGCAGUGGGGAAUAUUACCCAAUCGGAGCACGCGGGAUGAAGAGACGCCGCGGGCGGGAUGACGGCCUUCGGGUUGUAAACAGCUUCAGCCUGUGACGCAGCGGGAGUGACGGUAAUGAGUAAAGAAGCACCGGCUAACUACGUG
rnacentral:rRNA from 1 species